rnacentral:rRNA from 1 species
UACGUAUGGUGCAAGCGUUGUUCGGAAUUAUUGGGCGUAAAGGGUAUGUAGGCGGAUAUAUAAGUCAGAUGUGAAAUCUACGGGCUCAACUCGUAGUCUGCAUUUGAUACUGUGUAUCUAGAGUUUGGGAGAGGCAAUUGGAAUUCCUGGUGUAGCGGUGAAAUGCGUAGAUAUCAGGAGGAACACCAGUGGCGCAGGCGAAUUGCUGGCCUAAAACUGACGCUGAGAUACGAAAGCGUGGGGAGCGAACGGG